GAUGAACGCUGGCGGCGUGCCUAACACAUGCAAGUCGAACGGGAUACGUAUCGGAAAGCUUCGGCCGGAAGAUACGUUAUCUAGUGGCGGACGGGUGAGUAACACGUGGGUAACCUGCCUUAUGGAGGGGGAUAACAGAGAGAAAUCACUGCUAAUACCGCAUAAGCACACAGUACCGCAUGGUACAGGGUGAAAAGAUUUAUCGCCAUAAGAUGGACCCGCGUCUGAUUAGCCAGUUGGCAGGGUAAAAGCCUACCAAAGCAACGAUCAGUAGCCGAUCUGAGAGGAUGACCGGCCACAUUGGGACUGAGACACGGCCCAAACUCCUACGGGAGGCAGCAGUGGGGAAUAUUGCACAAUGGGGGAAACCCUGAUGCAGCGACGCCGCGUGAGUGAAGAAGUAUUUCGGUAUGUAAAGCUCUAUCAGCAGGGAAGAUAAUGAC
rnacentral:rRNA from 1 species